GCUGUCUUAGCUCAGUGGUUGAGCGCGUGACUUUUAAUCCUGUGGCCGAGGGUUCGAUUCCCACAGACAGCG
rfam:Brassica oleracea var. oleracea cultivar TO1000 chromosome C2, whole genome shotgun sequence